rnacentral:rRNA from 1 species
UACAGAGGUCCCGAGCGUUGUUCGGAUUCACUGGGCGUAAAGGGUGCGUAGGUGGUCGGCUAAGUCCGAUGUGAAAUCCCGGAGCUCAACUCUGGAACUGCAUUGGAUACUAUUCGACUAGAGGGUUGGAGGGGGGGACUGGAAUUCUCGGUGUAGCAGUGAAAUGCGUAGAUAUCGAGAGGAACACCGGUGGCGAAGGCGAGUCCCUGGACAACUCCUGACGCUGAGGCACGAAAGCGUGGGGGAGCAAACAGG